CGACUGUAGUGUUGACCUGUAAAAAAAAAAAAAGACAAAGACAAUGGGAUUCACAGCAUGAAAAAAGGCAAGAGGGACCUGAGCUUAGCAAACUGAUGAUGCAUUAAGAUGCCACCUAGAAAUUUCAGAAAAUUCCAAGUCCUGUUUUCUUCAAGAGCUACAUCUAGAGCUGACAGAGAGGUAGGAGACAGCAAGGGACUUCCUCUAUACUGUGUAGUCAUUUCAGUCAGCAAUCACAUCAUCCUUUUCAUAGCCCAGCCAGCACACUGCUGUUUCUUCAAGGCAGCAUGGAAGCUGCCUCAGUCUCAGUUCAGACUGACCAAAAGCCUGAGGUUUCUGGUAGUUUAGGGUGGCAUUAGUGCUUCAAGCAACAAAGAACAUCAAACAGGAGAUUCUACUACUCCUUCACCUCAAAAGAAGAAUAAGAUUCACCAUUGCAUUCUUAAAAUUACUUCUUAAGUAAUUUACAUUUCAACUGUCUGUAUUCAAUGUAGCAUAAUUCUACAGAACAUAUAUAUUGUGAAUAUAUCUGUUCUUGCUCCACUUCACAGCACUUCCUCUCAUCACUUUGCUUUUACAAAAAUAAUCAACAGUAGUUAUGAAAAAAAAAUCAAGUUGCUGCUCACUGUAGCACAUAUAAGGUGCUACUUGAAACAACAAUGGUAACACCUCAGAACAAAACCUUAAGGCAAUGCCCUAUUGACAUUAUGGCUUCUCACCCUCACAUCAUAGUCCUGAGCAGGGACUUCCCCCUCCUCUUUGGUUGUGGGAACCUCCUUGGAGAGAAGGCUGUAGGUUGUGACAACAACAUCAUAUCCAGAAAGCCUGAAUGAAAAGAAAGUAGUGAUCAGGAGCAAGAAUCAAUAUGGAUUUUUUUUUUUGCAAGAGAGACUAAAUGCAUGCUGAAGAAUGCAUUUAAGAACAACAGUGCUACAGGAGCUGAAACCCUGAGCUUUGUUGCAGUUAAACAGGAAAAAUGCAUCAUCCCCAUUUUAAGGAUACUGGAAGUAGACAGAUCAAGCUCAAGAGGACAGUAAAAGCCCAUGGAUCAGAAUGCACACCACAUGGCAUGAGCCCUACAGCCUGGCACCCAGGAAUACUGCUCAGCAUGGCCUGAAGAGGUCUGGAACAUAUGCUGAAUUAUACAUACCGCUGAUAAAAAAUACAGCUACCAAGCACAAGCAUGGAAGAAACUGCCAUUGACAAUCUUUGCAAGCAAGAGAUAUUUUGAAAAAUAUACACCUUUUUUUUGCUAGCAGAAGCAACAACAGCCUCCACCAGAACCUCUGCCUGAGCAUGGGCACAGGCCAUAAGCAUUUUACUAAAUACACCUUGACAGCACAAAUCAGCCUGGCUUUCUGGACCUCCCACAUUUCAAUACUUCCUGUUCUCCCAUCAUUCUACAUCCACUUCCAUUUCAACUUUGAUAAACACAGUCUCUUGCUACAUAGUAGUUUGCUUUUUUUGGUCAUAUUUAUGGUUUAGCACUUACACCUCUGCAUGCUUAUCUCUAUUUGCCCCGUGGUACAGGCAGACCCUCAGUUUGCCAAAGGCCACGUGUCCCUCAAUCUCUUUCUUCCAGUGGUGGAUCAAGGAUGCAGGACAAAUUACUAAAGUGCCAUGGGAAGGGAUAACAGUGAAGUCUAAAAGAAAAUAUUGCAAACAGGUUUCAAUGUCUUCACAUUAGACUAGAACAAAGACAGAAUUUUUGGUAAUUCACAAUUGAAAAGAGUGUCCAACUAAUUCCAUGAGGAUACAGACAGCACAGACUGUGGACACAACAGCAAUACUUUUUAAAAAAGCACUAACAUCCCCACUGUCUGUGGACAAGAUAAAAGUAAUCUUUGGGGGAGAGCUGGAAAGAAAAAAGAUCAGUUACAGAGAGGUGAGUAGUAACUAUUUGAAGUCCCUAUGAAAACUAUGCAUAUGUUUAAAAAACUGUGAAAUCUUUUGCAAACCCAGCGUAUCAUUCUCUACAACUUCCUGAAAGGUAGUUGUAGUCAGGUGGGGGUUGGUCUCUUUCUCCAAGCAAUAACUGACAGAAUGAGAGGUCAUAGUCUCAAGCUGCAUCAAGGGAAAUAUAGGUUAGAUAGUAGGAAAAAAAAUUUCACACUAAGAGUGAUAAAGUACUGGAAUGGUCUGUCUGGGCAGGUGGUGGAGUCACCAUCCCUGGAUGCAUUUAAAAAAAGACUGGAUGUGGCACUCAGUGCCAUGGUUUAGUUGAGAUGUCAAGGAACAGGUUGGACUCAAUGAUCUUGAAGGUCUCUUCCAACCCUGUGAUUCUGUGAUAUGCUGGCUUUAACUAUUUCAGGAAAACAGUAAAAAAAAAAACCAAAAUCUCCAAACAAUAUAAAGUAAUGAGUUGGAAAAUCCUACACAUCCAAUGGGAGACAAAAAUGACCCUGAUCAGAGAAAGGCCAUGCAAGGAGGCACAGUACAAUUUAGCCAAAUGAAGGUUUCCUGCAGAAGAAAAGUGAGCACAGAUACAGUGUGUUGUUCUACAGCCCUUUAACCUGUAAUGCUUUAGGCAUUUCAGAUGGCACUUCAUCAUAACGUACAUGCUAUAGGAUGCAAAAAAAAUCUGUACCAUUUUUGGAUAGCCAUAUUUCUAACGUCUCCUUUCUUUUCUCUGUCUUCAGUUGCUUCUGGGCCAGAAUGAGAGCAAUCAUCGUUAGAGUCUUCCCCAAGCCCAUGUCAUCCGCUGCAAAAAGAUGCAAGCAAGUUAUCACCUGCAGAAAUGAGACCCCUUAGAUCUACACUGAGUGAAAUACUACAACAGAAAGUAACCAUAGAUGAAAAUGUCAGGGUAUGAUUUAGUAAUUGGUUAAUACUGGUACUUGGUAAUAAGGCACAGAAAAUAAGCCCUUUUGACAUGUCUACAAAAUUAUUGGCCUCCAAGUAAGUUACAUGCAAAACUAUGCUGCCAUAGGUCUGCCCCACAAAAUCCACUUUGCCAUUCUGUUGCUCACCCAGAAUUCCUCCACAUGGCCUCUGACUCUCUCUCCAGAGGAGCCAUGCAAGCGCCUGUUUCUGGUGCUGCAGCAGUGAGACCUGAGGGGGUGAGUGAGACAGAGGAUUUGAAGGAAACACCUGGCAAAAUUUAGACACUUCUGCUUCCUUUAUCAAUUGUCAUGUUCCAACUGUUUUACUACAAUCCCGCUAGAAGGAGUUUACCUACCUGAUCUUCUUCCACAUGAGCUGGGAUACCCAAGCUAAGCAACUUCUGCAGACAGGAGGUAAGCAGUACCAUAAAUGAGUCUUCCCAAUGUUUCCUGCACUAACCAGCCUAAUGCCUCAUAGUGCUCUCAGAGAACAGAUAACAAUGGCUUGUUCAGCCAGAAAAUCCACCCCAAACUGCCUUACUUACAACAGAUACCACUGUCAAGGAAAGGGAUUGAGAACACUUUCCCUUUUCUCCCCGAGUCUAAGACCCCUACAGACUCUUAAAACAGGAAGAUGGACUACAUACUACCAUCACAGGACAUUCAGUGGCUUUGCCCACCACUGAAAAGGUCCCAAGACAACAUGACAAGUGACACAACUUAUAUGCAUCUACACACCACCCUGUAGAGGCAUGUGCCUUUGUUACAAUACCUUGCAUAUAACCCCAAACAGAUCAGAAUGAUUCUGGAAUCCAUCACAUUCCAUGAACACAAUCACCUGCAAACCUUUUUUGAAAGAUUAUUUCUUAUAGCUCACCAGGAAGAAUGAAAAAUUAGGUUCUCAACCUGUUCCUCACAGCUCUGUUCUGCCAAUCACGUAUAGAUAACAUGGAUGGAAUGUAAUUAGAGUAUCUCCUUCCAGCAGGAUGCAAAGUGGGAAGGAAGGAAUGCUCUAGAGUACCACUCAGAAGAUGUGAUUCAUUCAUCAGCAUGACAGCUUCCAUCCUUGCCAACCCACCUUCAGCCCAGAGGGAUCUUCAGCUGCUGUCUCCUCUGUUGGACAGGAUUCUAGAGAUUUGUGAAGAUGAUUAAUUGCCUCAGAUGUGGCACUGUGUACAGCCCUGAUUCGGUCUUCUGUCAUUCUUCUCCCAUACAGAUUCUGCACGCCAACACUCACUGCAAAGGUACAGUACCAGGGAUGUGUUUACAAAGCUAACUUUCCCUAACAGAUGUUUCACCUCAGAGAUUGACUUCAGUGUCUACAGAUGCCUGAGGGACAGUAUGCAGCAACAAAAUAGGCUUAGUACUCUCACAUGUAUUCACAAGUCUCAGGAUUAUUUCAGAAAUAGUACUCAACAGGAUUCUCUGUAAUAGCAAAGUCUUUCUAUACUUACUUCCAAAACUUUGGCCACUGGAACCCAAAGUAGCAGCAGCUGAGGGGUGACUCUGUGAGCCUGCAGAGGCCUUUGCUGUAGGAUCCUGAAGCAGGAGAGGUGUUAUCAACUUUGUAUCACCUGGCCUGCCAACUGGGUUAGAUAAAGACUCUUCACAGCAGCUGCUGCUUAUGCUAUCCUGCCCUUAAGGAGAAAAGAAUCACAGGCUGAAAAGAUUGCACAGUGAAUCUCAGAGCCUUGCUCUAUGGUCCAGGGAAGAGCCUUCAUUUUGCCCAACAAUCUAUUGCAAAAUACUAUGAAGUGGUGACACCAGUUUAAUAGCAGAUUACCACAUCACCUGAGCCACUGCAACUACCAACAUGUGCUCUUGGCCUGCUACUGUGACAGGCAAUGUGUCCAGCUGCAGCCUCAUUAUGUGGUUUCUAGCAACACAGUGAACUCUGCAGCUGUGAUCAGAGUAGUGCAGACAAGUUUAGUUUUGCACCCUGUUCCCAGAUGAUUCAUUAAUAUUGAAGGCAUCUCUCUUGUCAACAUUUUGGACACAAAAACUAUUGAAACAUCCCAGAACAAAUGGGCCAAGAGAGCUUUUCUCUCUCAGGAAUGGCUGGAAGCUGCUCAUUUUGAAUCUGGUAACUGGAAUUCAGUGACAAUAGCAUGCAUGAACAGCACAGUUCCAUAAUGCAACAGAGGGAGUGAACACUUCAUUGGCAUGUUCUCAUAGAGAUACCUGUCUCAGUCAUGUAGCCAAAGCUGGAAACCAAGAUCCUAAGGGUGGGUGGAAAUUCCCUUGGGAAGCCACUACAUUACAGGAGAAACAUUUGAGUUGUUCCAUUCAUCUGCUCCCAGACACGUACUUUGCAAUUAACAAUUUUCAUCUUCAGUAAAUCUCAACAGACAAACAUUUUAUAGACCACAGGCCAUAUAUAAGUAUAUGCUAUGCUUCCUCCAUAUUAACAACUAUUUUAAGAAAAACUGUUUUGUAAACUUCUGGAGAGAAAAAAAAAAUAUAUAUAUAUAUAUUAGCCCUACCUUUUUCACUAGUAUCUGCUGUUGAAAUGCUAAGAGCACUGAGUGCAGCUUCCAAAUCCUGCACUUGCUUUAAUAAGCGCUCCCCUUUAUCUGGCAGCAUCUGAACGUUCACUGUAGCCAAUGUACUCUGCAAAAAAGAAAGAAACCAAAACUUGAGUGUAGUCACCAAGGUCUCUGCCAAUACAGAACAAUCAGGUCACAAGGUUAAAAAGAACUAAUCCUAUCCCAUUUUAAUUGGCAUUUUGAUACUGUUAUGUAGUCUCCAAAAGCUUUUAAGUGCCAUUCAGUGCAAUUAAACAGUCUUUUAGCAGAAAAUAAACUAACCAUUAGUGUUCUUUAGAAAACUAACCAUUAGUGUUUCAUCAGAAAAUAUGGCAGGACACAGGGACUCCUCCUUUUUAUGAAACAGGCAGUCAGGCGAGUCAGACAAUCUUAACAUCUCUCAAAACAUCUACAACAUUUAACCUACUUGCACCUUUCUUUCUAUGCUUGCACAAACAAUAGUUCUGACUUUAUUUCAAGGUUCUGUUCUGAACUCCAGACAAACAGAGGAGUUCAUAAUGAAAACUGUAAAACAUAGUGACUGGCAAUUAUUGAAAAAAAAAAGGCAAACAGGCAGGUAGUUUAUUUCACCCCAGUGUAAGCUUUCAUAGCUAGACCACUCCUACUGCACAAGGCCCAGAGAGGCUACCAGAACAGCCAUGUUAUUUACAAAGGUUAAAUUGGUUGUGCACUAUUCCAUUUUAUGCAAAUUAUUUUCAGGGUAAAAGACAAGACAACCUCAGGUGGGUCAAAACUGAGCACUCCCAAAGGCAGAAGAUAGUACUAUCUUAGAAGUAACUGGUUUGUAUCUGCUUAUUACAACCAGUCUAUUACAAAGGCUGAAUUCCUUCCAUCCCACAUCUUCCUAAACCCCAUUUUGAGUUUCUGCUGUGAGGAGACAUAUUCUGAUGCCUGUCACAAGUAACAGAAGUCAUCUUGAAAACAGAACAAUAAAACCCCCAAAUAAUAGGUGCAAUAAAUGACCUUUUUCUGUUUCAGCUGGAGUAGAAGAUGGUUAUGAAGCACUUUAGGGUCCUGGGGUCCUUCCAUAUGAUGUGAUGCUGCUGCUCCUGGCAAAGGUGUCCCCUGCACACUCUUUCCUGAUUUUCCUGAAGGAAUCUCAACUGAUUUCUCAGGUUCAUUUUCACCUGAACAAACAAA